rnacentral:rRNA from 1 species
UACGAAGGGGGCUAGCGUUGCUCGGAAUCACUGGGCGUAAAGAGCUUGUAGGCGGUUUGUCGCGUCUGCUGUGAAAAUCCGGGGCUCAACCCCGGACUUGCAGUGGGUACGGGCAGGCUAGAGUGUGGUAGGGGAGAUCGGAAUUCCUGGUGUAGCGGUGAAAUGCGCAGAUAUCAGGAGGAACACCGGUGGCGAAGGCGGAUCUCUGGGCCGUAACUGACGCUGAGGAGCGAAAGCAUGGGGAGCGAACAGG